rnacentral:rRNA from 1 species
AUUGAACGCUGGCGGCAGGCCUAACACAUGCAAGUCGAACGAGUGGCGGACGGGUGAGUAAUGUCUGGGAAACUGCCCGAUGGAGGGGGAUAACUACUGGAAACGGUAGCUAAUACCGCAUACCAUCGGAUGUGCCCAGAUGGGAUUAGCUAGUAGGUGGGGUAAUGGCUCACCUAGGCGACGAUCCCUAGCUGGUCUGAGAGGAUGACCAGCCACACUGGAACGGAGACACUGUCCAGACUCCUACGGGAGGCAGCAGUGGGGAAUAUUGCACAAUGGGCGCAAGCCUGAUGCAGACAUGCCGCGUGUAUGAAGAAGGCCUUCGGGUUUUAAAGUACUUUCAGCGAGGAGGCGUUACUCGCAGAAGAAAGACCGGCUAACUCCGGGUCAGCCGCCGCGGUAAUUC